rnacentral:rRNA from 1 species
GACGAACGCUGGCGGCGUGCCUAAUACAUGCAAGUAGAACGCUGAAGGAGGAGCUUGCUUCUCUGGAUGAGUUGCGAACGGGUGAGUAACGCGUAGGUAACCCGCCUGGUAGCGGGGGAUAACUAUUGGAAACGAUAGCUAAUACCGCAUAAUAGCAGUUGUUGCAUGAUAACUGUUUGAAAGGUGCAAUUGCACCACUACCAGAUGGACCUGCGUUGUAUUAGCUAGUUGGUGGGGUAACGGCUCACCAAGGCGACGAUACAUAGCCGACCUGAGAGGGUGAUCGGCCACACUGGGACUGAGACACGGCCCAGACUCCUACGGGAGGCAGCAGUAGGGAAUCUUCGGCAAUGGACGGAAGUCUGACCGAGCAACGCCGCGUGAGUGAAGAAGGUUUUCGGAUCGUAAAGCUCUGUUGUAAGAGAAGAACGAGUGUGAGAGUGGAAAGUUCACACUGUGACGGUAUCUUACCAGAAAGGGACGGCUAACUACGUG